UGUGUGGGCUACUUGUUGCUUGCGGCCCGAACUCUUUUUCGGGCCAUGUGUUUUUUCAAGACACUUGAAUGUUCAGUGUUUUCUUUUUCUUACCAGUUUUUAAAUUUUAGUGUUUAUUGUAUUUACAAUAAUUAUGGUAUUAUAUAUGACGUUUAAAAUAAUAAUAAUCGCUGACUAUACUAGUUACCUGGUACAAUUUGUUGCAUCGCAGUUUUCACUAUCGUCAAUCAUGGAUUUCAGUCAUCAGUUUUUUCGAUUCAAAUGGAUAAAAUCACCCUGUUUUGGAUCUAGAGCUAUAUAGAAGUCUUGAACAUAAUAUGGCUCUAAUGGACAUCCAUUCCGGUUAUCUCGCUGUGCUGCUUAUCCUGCCUGAACGAUUCUGCUUUACAGGUAAGCAUUUAUUACUAUUUAUAACUAUUAUAUCUAUUGUAUAGAUUGUUGAAUGCAUCUAUUUAGGUAUUUAAAACUAGUUACACACAUUAGAAUUUUAAACUUAAAUACCAAUUUACUAUUUUAGUAAUAUUUUAUAAUUUAUUUAUAUUAAAAUAACCUUAACGACUAUUCUAGUCAUCGUAUAUAACUUUUGAAAAUAUAUUUGUAUUUGUCGUGAAGUUUACUUGAAAACUACUUUUUCACUUUUUUAAAAUUAGAUUUGCUAGGUAUUCGAUGAACGAAGGAAAAAGAAAUAGCUUUAAUAUUGAUUUACCUACCUAUAAUUUAAUAUUAAACAAGAACACAAUUGAUAAAUUAUAUGUAUUUGAAAGAAUAUAUUUAUUAUUUAAAACACAAACAUAUUAUACUAAACAUAUAUUAUAUAAUAUCUCAUCAGUCAUCACGUAUGUCUUUCACCAAGUGCGUACGCAGUGAGAGUGCUGUUGUAUGGAUCGGACGAUGGUCGAUGGAUAUUGUCUGAGCCGAUGAAACAGCUUAUUUAACAAAAGAGUAUAAUAAUAAUGUAUGAACAUAUAUUGUAAUACAAACAUCUGUGUGACUGUAUAUACAAUAUUAUAAUAUAUAUUAUUUUAAUGGUUAUGACGAUUACACUCUUUUUAGAAUAAUCUAUUUAUGAAGAGUGGCUAUCAUUAGAAAACAAAAUAAUUAAUAUUUAUGUAAUGCGUUGUUGACAUGCACUUGCAUUUUCAGGAGCGCUCCGCUAUUUAUUUUAUACACAGGAACUUACACAAAUGAUAACUUACUACGCACACAUUUACACAACCUGCAUGUAUACACAUAGAAAAUUUCCUA